AGUGAACGCUGGCGGUAGGCCUAACACAUGCAAGUCGAACGGCAGCACGGUAAGAGCUUGCUCUUACGGGUGGCGAGUGGCGGACGGGUGAGGAAUACAUCGGAAUCUACUUUUUCGUGGGGGAUAACGUAGGGAAACUUACGCUAAUACCGCAUACGACCUACGGGUGAAAGCAGGGGAUCUUUGGACCUUGCGCGAUUGAAUGAGCCGAUGUCGGAUUAGCUAGUUGGCGGGGUAAAGGCCCACCAAGGCGACGAUCCGUAGCUGGUCUGAGAGGAUGAUCAGCCACACUGGAACUGAGACACGGUCCAGACUCCUACGGGAGGCAGCAGUGGGGAAUAUUGGACAAUGGGCGCAAGCCUGAUCCAGCCAUACCGCGUGGGUGAAGAAGGCCUUCGGGUUGUAAAGCCCUUUUGUUGGGAAAGAAAAGCAGCAGGUUAAUACCCCGCUGUUCUGACGGUACCCAAAGAAUAAGCACCGGCUAACUUCGUG
rnacentral:rRNA from 1 species